rnacentral:rRNA from 1 species
AGUGAACGCUGGCGGCAGGCCUAACACAUGCAAGUCGAGCGAAGUCUUCGGACUUAGUGGCGGACGGGUGAGUAACAUGUGGGAACGUACCUUUUGGUUCGGAACAACUCAGGGAAACUUGAGCUAAUACCGGAUGAGCCCUUAGGGGGAAAGAUUUAUCGCCGAAAGAGCGGCCCGCGUUAGAUUAGCUAGUUGGUGAGGUAAAGGCUCACCAAGGCUACGAUCUAUAGCUGGUCUGAGAGGAUGAUCAGCCACACUGGGACUGAGACACGGCCCAGACUCCUACGGGAGGCAGCAGUGGGGAAUCUUGCGCAAUGGGCGAAAGCCUGACGCAGCCAUGCCGCGUGAAUGAUGAAGGUCUUAGGAUUGUAAAAUUCUUUUACCAGGGACGAUAAUGACGGUACCUGGAGAAAAAGCCCCGGCUAACUUCGUGCCAGCCGCCGCCGUAAUAC